rnacentral:rRNA from 1 species
AACGCUGGCGGCGUGCCUAAUACAUGCAAGUCGAACGGUCUUUUCUAUGGAAGCUUGCUUCCACUGAGAAGAUAGUGGCGAACGGGUGAGUAACACGUGGGUAACCUGCCCAUAAGAGGGGGAUAACAUCCGGAAACGGGUGCUAAUACCGCAUAGUUUUCUUGAUUGCAUGAUUGAGAAAGGAAAGACGGCCUUUGUGCUGUCGCUUAUGGAUGGACCCGCGGCGUAUUAGUUAGUUGGUGAGGUAACGGCUCACCAAGACGAUGAUACGUAGCCGACCUGAGAGGGUGAUCGGCCACAUUGGGACUGAGACACGGCCCAAACUCCUACGGGAGGCAGCAGUAGGGAAUCUUCCGCAAUGGACGAAAGUCUGACGGAGCAACGCCGCGUGAGUGAAGAAAGGUUUUCGGAUCGUAAAACUCUGUUGUCAGAGAAGAACAAGUUGGAGAGUAACUGCUCCAGCCUUGACGGUGUCUGACCAGAAAGCCACGGCUAACUACGUGCCAGCCGCAGC